GACGAACGCUGGCGGCGUGCCUAAUACAUGCAAGUUGAGCGCUGAAGGUUGGUACUUGUACCAACUGGAUGAGCAGCGAACGGGUGAGUAACGCGUGGGGAAUCUGCCUUUGAGCGGGGGACAACAUUUGGAAACGAAUGCUAAUACCGCAUAAAAACUUUAAACACAAGUUUUAAGUUUGAAAGAUGCAAUUGCAUCACUCAAAGAUGAUCCCGCGUUGUAUUAGCUAGUUGGUGAGGUAAAGGCUCACCAAGGCGAUGAUACAUAGCCGACCUGAGAGGGUGAUCGGCCACAUUGGGAUUGAGACACGGCCAAAAAUCCUACGGGAGGCAGCAGUAGGGAAUCUUCGGCAAUGGAAGAAAGUGUGACCGAGCAACGCCGCGUGAGUGAAGAAGGUUUUCGGAUCGUAAAACUCUGUUGGUAGAGAAGAACGUUGGUGAGAGUGGAAAGCUCAUAAAGUGACGGUAACUACCCAGAAAGGGACGGCUAACUACGUG
rnacentral:rRNA from 1 species